CACACAGGUCCCCAGCAAUCCCUCAUUUGGAUGUUCCAUAGAUGAAUGAAUUCCAUUUGUCCUUUGCUUUGUGGACUCCAUAUCAAUAAUGUUGGGCCACUUGAGCAUCUUGAGCGAGAGAUGGAGAGCAAAGGUGACACCAGUGCUGAGGGACAUCUGAAGGGAAAGAAGAAAGUGAGGAGAGAGAUGUUAACAUGCAGCAAAAAGCCUGUAUGUUUCAACCGUGGUACAUGAUGUGCACACAACCAGCUCCUCUUGUGUCAGUCAUCCUGGUGCCCUAAAACUGUCCUAAAUGACUUAAUCUACAGGGCGACAGGACUCCAGAGAGGCUGACUCUCCAACCGUGACCUUCUACGACGAAACAGUUUGCAUAAAUGAGGCAUAAUUAGACAGAGGGAGAUGUGGCAAAGACAAAGCAGAGGUACAAGGUUCAGCUCCAUCAUCAUUAUUCCACCGCAUCCCCCGAGGAGCGAGACAGAGCCGAGGCCGGGGCCGGGGCCGGACCAGGCUGGGGGAGAAAACACUGUAGAACCAGAGCACCAGGACCUGGGAAUGCACACAAGUGAUAUUUGUGCGAGGAGAUCAAAAAACGUUUACCUUUAGAUGUUUCCCUGAUAUGAAUAUUCAACAUCCUUAUUGAAAUCUAAUUUGGGUCUCCUUGUCUCAGGGGUCUUUUCAUCAGUGCCUGUUGCCUGAGGCCACUGCUGAUUGACAGCCAAACUUUAGUAAAGAGCAAGCAGGAAAAAAGGGGAGAUCUGGUGGUGUUGGAGAUGUGAGCGGUGUGAAGCUGGGGAGAGCUGGAACAGAUGA